rnacentral:rRNA from 1 species
UAACACAUGCAAGUCGAGCGAAGCACUUUGCUUUGAUUUCUUCGGGAUGAAGAGCUUGGUGACUGAGCGGCGGACGGGUGAGUAACGCGUGGGUAACCUGCCUCAUACAGGGGGAUAACAGUUAGAAAUGACUGCUAAUACCGCAUAAGACCACAGCACCGCAUGGUGCAGGGGUAAAAACUCCGGUGGUAUGAGAUGGACCCGCGUCUGAUUAGUUAGUUGGUGGGGUAACGGCCUACCAAGGCGACGAUCAGUAGCCGACCUGAGAGGGUGACCGGCCACAUUGGGACUGAGACACGGCCCAAACUCCUACGGGAGGCAGCAGUGGGGAAUAUUGCACAAUGGGGGAAACCCUGAUGCAGCGACGCCGCGUGAGCGAAGAAGUAUUUCGGUAUGUAAAGCUCUAUCAGCAGGGAAGAAAAUGACGGUACCUGACUAAGAAGCCCCGGCUAACUACGUGCCACCAGCCGCGGUAAUACGUAGGGGGCAAGCGUUAUCCGGAUUUACUGGGUGUAAAGGGAGCGUAGACGGAGCAGCAAGUCUGAUGUGAAAACCCGGGGCUCAACCCCGGGACUGCAUUGGAAACUGUUGAUCUGGAGUGCCGGAGAGGUAAGCGGAAUUCCUAGUGUAGCGGUGAAAUGCGUAGAUAUUAGGAGGAACACCAGUGGCGAAGGCGGCUUACUGGACGG